UUUUGUGGGUGGAAAACAAACCAACUCGAGUGUCGCUUUUUGUCGGACAACGCUUUUGAAUCACUGACCCCCAGUGAGCAGCGGCGAGAUGUUAUAAAGAAAAUGUUUGUAGAUUUGCUAAAGAUGAAUUAAUUUCAGGAAUAAUUACAUUCAAAGAGCAGAAAGCAUGGAGGUUAUCCGCGAUGGGGAGGGGGAGAGUGUUAAAUAUAAGCCCGGUGGUCGUUUGGACAUGAGCCACGGUUUUCUGAGGCACAUCAGGAGGAAUCAGAUCGCCAGGGAUGAUUAUGACAGAGAGGUGAAACAGGCCAAGGAGAAACAGAGGAGAAGACACACCAACACCCCACGCCGUCCCAGAAGACCUGACCGGCAGGUCUACAACCCGCGCAUUCGGAAUGGGUCGGAGCCGGGUGUGAACGCAGAAGCAGAGGACUGGAAUGAGAGCAGCUCAGGCACAGAGAUGGAGAACACUGGCACUGAGUUAUUCUGGCUGGAUUAUCAGGCGGACAACGGGAAAAUAACAUCAUUCAUCGUUCACAAGGAGGACAAACCUGAAGUUAUUGUGCAAAGAGUAGCAGAGAAGAACGUUCUGGAUUCGUCCAUGAGGGCGGCGCUGUUGGCUCGUGUGGGACAAGAAAUGAACAAGCGCUGUGACAAACGCUGAAAACAAGACGAAAGAGACGUGUUUAUUCAAGAGGGAAGAUGAUAAAGGCACUGACACACUGUUGAGACUCAACUGCAUUUCUUUAUGACGGCGCCAAGAAUUCAGAAAUGUCCUGCCGCAUAUCCUGAUAUGUGAAGGUGUAUCUCGUGAAAACUUUGAGGGACGAAAUAUGUAUAGUAAUAUACAGAAAACGGGAAUUGUUUCUGGACUGGAAACUGGUUCACACUCAAAGACUACGUUGAAUAAAUGUUAUGGAGUUAUGAAUCUGAAAGAGACAGUUCCCAGGCAGGUCAUCUAAGAUGUAGAUUCAUUCAGUAGAACGUUAAAGAUUAUGAGCUGAGUCUGUGGUAUAUUCAUAUAAUGGCAGUGAAUGGUGACAGGUUUUUAGAUUUAAAAGUUAACAUAUAAACGAGUCCAAAUCAACAGCCCAUGAACCUCUGAGGUCUACGUAUAGAUGUAGAUCACUUUUAUUCCUCAGUAAAAAAUAAGAGAAGUUUUGAGCUGAAUCUGGUAUAUUCAUAUAAUGGCAGUGAAUGGUGACAGGUUUUUAGAUUUAAAAUAAACGCAUGCAAACAUGUCCAAAUUAAUAACCAAUGACACACUGAGGUUUUGUGAAGCAAAAGGAUUGGUUUGUUUAAGA